AUCUAAAUAGUUUAAGUGUAAAAUGUUGGUUUGUGGUGCCAGUGAUAUAGUUGUAUUUUAGAUU
rnacentral:tRNA from 1 species